AUGAGCUCGCGUCUGAUUAGCUAGUUGGAGGGGUAAAGGCCCACCAAGGCGACGAUCAGUAGCUGGUCUGAGAGGAUGAUCAGCCACACUGGAACUGAGACACGGUCCAGACUCCUACGGGAGGCAGCAGUGGGGAAUUUUCCGCAAUGGGCGAAAGCCUGACGGAGCAAUACCGCGUGAGGGAGGAAGGCUCUUGGGUUGUAAACCUCUUUUCUCAGGGAAGAAUAUCGGCAGGGCCCGUGAGAAAUCAUCCUGGGUAAAUUCCGUCCCAGCCGCCGCGGUAAUACGGAGGAUGCAAGCGUUAUCCGGAAUGUUUGGGCGUA
rnacentral:rRNA from 1 species